UCGGCAAUUCAAACACCCCAAGCUGGAGGACUUUUUUCCAAGAUGGCCUGUUGCCGAUAUCAUCCCACCAAGCAGAGACAUGUUUUCUGUCCCUGAUCAUAUGCUCCUUCCCCAAAUCAGCCACCAAGUGCUGGUUAAACGGAAGGUGGCUAAGAUCAGCAAGGCUGAAGAAAUCACCAGCCAAGUACUUGCUCUUUGAGAGCCUCUCCUCAUAAAUGUCCAACACCUUCCCCAGCUUUGCUUCGCUCUCUUGAAUGAUCUUGGGAUCUGAAGGAAAACCCAACGCUGAGGCAAGCAGAAUGUGAACGACUAACUUGUAGACUGGAGGGUGGAAUCUUUGUGCUUCAACCUCUAGCCAUUGUUCCACAAGCCCUCUUUCCUCAAUUGUCUUUCCCAGCAACUCAGUACCCUGGGACUUGAAUUUUUCUGCGUAGUAUCUCAUGAUUGCACGCGAUUCUGCACGUCAGAUUAGAAACCAGUGAACAAGUUUGUGUAUGUCAAACAAAACUCUGUAUUCUUGCUUCCCAAGCAUUCCAAUCGAAUAAUGUUAGGAGAUAAAUAAUGUAACAAAAUGCAUGUAAUGUUAAUUACUUUGGUCCCAAAUUAAAGACCAGAAAGCAGAAAAGGCAGAGCAUACCAUACAGGGUAUAGUCCCCAUCUUGAAUGACAGGAACUUGUCCAAAGGGCUACACAUUUAAAGACAAAGCAAUCCAAAGAUCAAUAUAUUUAUAGUUUCGAAAGAGAUUAUUAUGAGUAGACCAAUCACAAUUAACAAGUGACUUAAUAAUACUAGCUAAAGCUAACCUGUAAUUUGAGGAACUCAGGGUCCUUGUGCUCCCCCUUGAAGAGAUCAAUGGGGAUGAUCUCAAAGUCGAUCUCUUUCUCCACAAGGCAAGCCAGCACACGCUGUGGGGAAGCGUCGACGGAGCCAUACACCUUCACCACCAUUGUGAAUUAGAAGAGCCCGCAGUCUGCACAUUCCAGCUUUUGGUUCUAAGUGGUGUUUGGUUGGGGCAAUGAAAUUGAAUGGUAAUGUUAAUAGGAAAGAUAAUGAAAAUGGAAUUUUGGGAUAGAAAUCCUUAUUUCUAUAUUUGUCCAUAGUUGAUGCAUAUACUUUGUAGAUUGCAGAUUACACAAAUUUGGUUUUUUAAUUCACAUCACACCCCAAAUGAAAUGCAAUUACUCAUUACUGUUUUUCUUUUUCUUUUCAGUUUUCCCAAAAUUAAGAUUACAAUUUACAAACUUUCUUUCACACAUCAACUAUCCAGAAACUGUUUCUUCAUCAUAAUUCAUGACUUUAUGAAUGACAUAAAUAGAUAAUAGAGAAAGGUCAAUGAAUGAUUGGAGAUGAUAUAGCUUAUAAAUGUCAGGUCACUCUUCGAAAUGAUGGAUUGUUCCCUAGCUUAUACAUGACAAAAUAUGGAUCUUAUAGAGGUUGAAAUUUAGAUUCCUUUUGGGAGUGAAAAUUCUGGCGGGGAAAAGAGAGAGAGAGAGAGAGAGAGAGAGAGAGAGCAACCACAAUUGUAAUUCUGGGUAGAUUAUGGUUCACGUUUUAGAAGGAAGAUGGGUAAGACGCACAAAGGUGUUCGGAUCGGAAUGCAUGUGCCCUCAUGCCAUGCAUGCACUAAAGUGAGGUUAUGAAAUAGCAUGAAAACAAUGCGUUUUGCAUUCAUCAAACCAAAUAGCAUGAAAACAAUGUGUUUUGUAUGUACUAAACCAAAUAUUUUUCGAUGCUGAUUUAGUAUCUUGUGUGGGUAACUUGGUUGGGCAGAUCCACUAAUAUGAGGCCAAAGUUGAAAUCAGUGAUAUGUAUGUGCCUCUCAACUGUCCCCAAUUUCUUUUUCUUUACACAAGCAAUAGUCUAAAUUAGGGGGAGAGAGAGAGAGCGAUUGAACUCGGGUGUAAGGGGGUGAGCACACUACCAUGAUCAACUAGCCUAACCCACAUGUACAAUCUACAAUAUCUCUAUAUAAGCAAUUAUUGGGUUAUAACUCAUAGGAAUCAAUUGUAAAUUUGCUCAAUUUGUUGGAGAAAAAAAAGGGUCAUAAAUCGGUUGCAAAGUAGUAUGAUCUUUUUGGAGUUCAAUUCUUCUGUGUCCAACUUAUCUGUGCCCUCUCUGUUUCCUUCUUCGUUUUCUACCACCUGUCCUCACACAUAAUUGAUAGAAAAGAGAGUUGACGGGCUUAUCUAUUAGUUAUGUUGAGUACAACAGCAGAAAUCGAAAAUGGAGACAGGGAGGACCAUAUAAAUUGGACACAAGAGAACUGAACUCUAUUGGUGCAAAGACGGAAACCAAUUUCUAAAGUGAUGUUAUUGCUCGAAUGAAAUUGAAUGCUAAUGUCAAUGGGAAAGGUAAUGAGAAUGGAAUGUUGGAAUGGAAAUCCUUAUUUCUAUUUCUCCACAGUUGAUGCAUACGCUAUGUAAUAGAUGUGAGUAUGAAAGCAAAGCCAACUAAGAGUUAAUAAUGAUCUGAUCAUCUAACAUUCACGAAAGUCAUACAAAAGCAGUUAAAGCUAGGAAAGCUACAAAAACAAAACCAGCUCAAAAAGUCCAAAACCCCCGAACAAAAUGUGAAUUGCUUUGCUAGCUUUGUUUUCAACUAAAGUUCAUCUUUAGAAACUCCAAAAAGCACCCCUCCAAACCAAGAAAGACUUUCAUGAAAUGGGGAUAAUACUAUUUUGUUAUUCCUGUCUAAUAACACUAUGUCACGUGAAAACGCGUCAUAACACUUUCACACGGCAUAGCAUUAUUGGUCGGGGAGCAAAACAGUGAUAUGCCCAUUGCAACUAAGUUUUUCUCCUCUAAACCAUUCAUGAUGCGAACAAAUUUCACAUCCCAAAAUGGGUUUGCCCACUUCUCCUUUCUCAUUUGCUCUGAUCUACUUUUCUUCUUUUCUUCUUUUCCCUUUCCCUUUUCUAAUUCACAUCACGCUCCAAAUGAAAUGCAAUUACUCAAAUUUCUAUUACCAACGAAACUCCAAGCCCUACAGAAAAAAUGUGACAUUUAGGGCCCAUUUGAUAAUCAUUUCAAUUUUAGUUUUUAAUUUUCAUUUUUUGUGCUAGAGUACAGAGGAAAAAGAGGGAGAACGGAAUUGAGAAUGAGAGUGGAAAUAGGAUUGAGAGGGAAGAUGAGAGGGGAGGAUGUGAGGGAGAAGUAACAAAAGUGAAAACAAAAACUAAAAUUUGAAAUCUAUUUGAAAUUGUUCUCCCGUUCAAGUUUUUGUUUUCACUUUUGUUACUCCUCCCCUCCCAUCCAGAGGCGGAUGCACGUUGGCACAAGAGGGGUCCCCCUUGGAAGGCUGGAAAUUUGGGAAGGGACUCCAUGAAAGCCCCCUUGGACAGCUGCUGGAAGCCCCCUUGUACGCACACCAAGUGCUCGACGGAAGUCCCACAAGACGAGCUGGAGUUGCUGUGCUGAGCCUGCGCCUUGCGCGCAGCGCGCGCGGAUUCUAAUUUUUGUUAAAACCAGCCUUGCCAAACGACGUCGUUUGGUCAAGGCUCAGUCAAAUUUUUUUUUAAUUGACCUGGCCUCAAAACGACGUCGUUUUGGGCCUGUUUUAAAAAUUUAAAAAAAAAAAAAAACUGCACAAAACAGAACAGCAACACAUGCUUCGACAGAACAGAACCAAAGCCAUUUCCACAGCCCCUCUUCUCCCACCAUCUGAAACCCUAACCUCCCCAACCUCCCAAUCUUCGAAACUUUUACACUAAGCCCCCUUGGCCACAUAAUCCUGGAUCCGCCACUGCUCCCAUCCUUCCUUCUUAUCCUCUUCCCAAUCUCAUCCUCACUCCCAUUCUCACUCUCAUUUUCCUCUAUACUCUAGCACAAAAAAUGAAAACUAAAAACUAAAAUUGAAAUGGUUAUCAAACAGGCCCUUAGAAAAUAGACUUCUAUAGUGGAAUGGAAUUGAUCUUUCCCAACAAAUCAAUCGUAUUUCAGAAUAAAAACCCAUUCUUACACAUUAAUAAAACAUAAUCCAAGCAAAACCUCAACGUCCAGAACCAUUCAUUCAAGCAUCGGUUUAAUAUCAAAACUUGCAUCACAGAAUCAAAUGUAGGAAGGAAAAAAAAUUGAAGAAGCAGACCAAGAAAUAGCUCAAGUACCUCGUUCUUUCCUUCAAAGGUGAAGGCUUAACCCAAGACUUGGCAGAUGGGUCUGGCCGUCAGCGAGAGUGUGAAGAUGGAGUGAGAAGAUAGAUAAAAGAGAUAAAGGAGAGCGAGAAAGACAAAGCUUUUAACAUCGAACUUCGGUUUUUGGGUGAAGUUAAAUCAGAACAAAAGCUAGGACAAGCUAGCCCACAGGUUGCUUCUAGCUAAGCCACCAACUUUACUAAAAUCCAGCCCAAACCCAAAAAUGGACUGGCUUUAAAACCCCUCCCAAAUCCAGCUUGAGCAUUCAUAAUUCAAAAAUGAGGAACUUACUCAACCAAGCAGUUAACCAUAACAAGUUGUCAAGACAAAGCAAAAAAGGAAAGGUAAAGAAGUCUAUUGAUGCAGCAAUAAUACUUUAGUAAAUUUAGGUUUUACCCAUAAAAAAACUUUCACUUUUGGAAAAAGCCAAAGCUUUUUGAAAAAAGACAGAAUAACCUCUCAACUUUCAAACCAAAGACAUGCAAAUGUAAAGGAUUUCUUAAGAAAUCAAAAAAUAAAUAAGGGCAAUUUUGUCCAUUUUUGCUUGUUUUAAAAAUUUUCUCUCUCCUUUGGGCUUUUCCAAAGUCUCCCUAAUACUUUACCAUGUGCCAAGAGAGAAAGCAAAUGAUGAAGGACAUAGCACAUCAUUAUUCUUACAAGUAGUUUUGAUUAUUUAUUUUUGCCCAAGCCCAAGCCCAAGCCCAAGGUACAGAAAUUCAUACAUACUAACGUUCACAUGACAUGACUAAGCGAAAAACAUUGUAUGCACCGGCUGUAUGCAAAAAUACAUCUGCCCUAAAAUGGGGUACCAAACUCGAGGACCUUCUUCCAAGAUGGUCUGUUGCUAAUAUCAUUCCACCAAGCAGAGACAUGCUUUCUGUCCUUUAUCAGAUACUCCUUCCCCAAAAGAGUCACCAUAUACUGAGUAAAUGGAAGGUGGCUAAGAUCAGCAAGGCUGAAGAAAUCACCAGCUAAGUACUUGCUCUUUGACAGCCUCUCCUCAUAAAUGUCCAACACCUUCCCUAGCUUUUCUUCACUCUCUUGAAUGACCUUGGGAUCUGAAGGAAAACCCAAUGCUGAGGCAAACAAAAUGUGAAGGACUAAGUUGUUGAGUGGUGGGUGGAAGUUGUGUGCUUCAACCUCUAGCCAUUGCUCAACUAGCCCUCUUUCCUCAAUUGUCUUCCCUAGCAAAGCAGUCCCUUGAGACUUGUAUUUUUCGGCAUAGUACCUUAUGAUUGCGCGUGAUUCUGCGGAUUAAAGACAGUUUUAUCAAAGAACUUGUUAGAUCAUUAUGUUGAUGAUGCUGAUAAGAAACCAGUGAACACUAUUGUCAAAGAAAAAAAUUUCAAAACUUUCUUACUUCCCAAACAGUACAAUCCCAAUUUGAUGCUCUACAGAGAUUCAAAUGAUGAAUUGAAGCAAACCCACAAAAUGGUAUGCUAAAAGAUGAAGAAAAAUGAAAUGUAACGCUAACUUUGAUCCCAAAAUUAAAGAUUUAGCAUACCAUAUAAAGUAUAAUCCCCAUCUUGAAUGAGAGGAACUGUUCCAAAGGGCUACAUUUAAAGACAAAAGCAAUACAAAUUAAGAUCAACCGUCAUAUAUACAGAUGAUAAAUAUGAUUUCCAAAGAGAUGAUGAGCAGAAACAAUCACAAAAGAUUGAAUUAAUAGCAAAAGGUGACCUGCAAUUUGAGAAAUUCAGGGUGUUUGUGCUCUCCCUUGAAGAGAUCAAUGGGAAUGGUCUCAAAGUCGACCUCUUUCUCAACAAGACACACCAGCACACGCUUCGGGGAAGCAUAGGCAGCGCCAUACACCUUUACCACCAUUCUUACUGUUUCAGCGAGAAACCAAGUAUUUAGAUCUCGGUCUGCAGAGUACCCUAGAUUUUGGUUUCUUAGUUCUUAUAGUAGUUAAGGUGUGAUAUGCUCAUGCUUUAAGGUGUGAUAUGCUCAUGCCUAGUGGUCCAAUAAUUGCCCUCUGCACUCCAAAACAGAUAAACUCAUAAGAUUUUUUGCGCACUCAGAUUUUUUGUUCUUUUCUUUUUUGAAGGCUGUGAGUAGCUAGUGAGUAGUAGGUAGGCGGUCACAUGAAGAUAAUUCUUUAACAGGUAAAAGACAAUUAUGAGUGGAUACUGCUUGUCCCCUCCGAAAUGAGAUAAUUCAUUAAAAACACAAAACAAAAACAAAAAUUAUACACACAUCACAUUAUACACGCGUCACAUUAUUGACAAGAAUAUAUAGACUCUAUUUAUAUAGUAAGGAGGAAAAUAUUUUUCAUUAUGGUAGCCUUUGACAUCAUAGUUCUAUUUAGGCUGCUGUGCAUUGCGUGAGCAAUUAAAAAAAGUGCCAAAGGGGUUCAGAAUGCAUGUGCCACCAUGCCAUUCAUGCACUCAAGUGAGGUUCUGAAAUUGUAUGAGAACAAUGCGUUUUGUAUGCUCCAAAUCAAAUGUAGCAUGAAAACAUUGUGUUUUGUAUUCACCAACCCAAAUAGCAUGAAAACAAUGUGCUACUGAACCAAAUAUUUUUGGAUUCUGAUUGAAUAUCUUGUAUGGGUAGCUUGGGCACAUUCACUAAUACGAGAUGCCAAAGUUCAAAUGAGUGAUAUGUAUGGGCCUCUCAACCGUCUUCAAUAGUCUAAAUUAUGAUAAAUGACAAUCAAACUUGCAUGGGAAUAGAAGCACUACUUUGAUCAAUGAGCCUCGCUCAUAUCUAUAAUCUACAAUUUAUUUUUUUAGGUAAUUACGAGGGAAUAACUCAUAAAAAUCCAUUGUAAAUUUGUUCAAUUUGUUAGAGGAAAAAAAAGGGACAAAAAAAAGGAGAGAGAUAUUUUUAAAAGAAUUCAAAAUGGACAAAAAUACCCUUAUUUAUUUAUGGAUUUCUUAAGAAAUCCUCUACAUGUGCAUGUCUUUGGUUUGAAAAUUGAGGAGUUUUUUUGUCUUUUUAAAAAAAAAAUUUAUUUUUUUCAAAAAUAAAAGAUUUUUUUGUGGCUAAAACCUAAAUUUAUUAAAAGGUUGAUAAAUCAGUUGCAAAGAUCUAUGAUCUUUUUGCAGGCUAUUCAAAGACAGAAACCAGUUUAGGCCCAAACUGACAGAUUGCUUCUCAGUGCUCAGUAGUCAGUAGUAAGCCACCAACCUUUCUAAAGUCCAGGCUCAACCCAAAAAUAUGAAUUAUACCAAGCCAUUAAUCAUGCACUCAAAUUACUCACCACACCCAUACCUUAAUCUAAAUAUUGGUUCAAAAACCUACCAUUGUCUAACAAAAAGCUUGUAGUUCAAGUGAUUAAGAGUAACUCCACCCAUUUGCCUUUAGCCAUGGCAAAGAGGGAGGUAGGGCAGUCACUAUUCACAUGAAUAGUGAUUGCCCUUGCAAAUAGUAUUUUGUGUUUCCACCUAUUGCCAUGGCUAAGGGCAAUUACUAUUCAUUUUUUUGUUUUUUCACAACUUUUUUUUACUUAAAUAAUUAAUUUGGAUAAUAUUUUCGGAUAAGAUUUUUGGGUUCCUACGUGUCAAUACUAUUCAUAUCGGAUAAGAUUUUAUUUUAUUAGUUGUAUUGGUUGGUAUUUAUAGAAAAAAAAAAGUAUGAGGAUUUUAUGUUAAAAGUGAAGAGUAUUGGUUGGUAUUUAUAGACACGGGCGGACCCAUAAUUUUUUUAGUGGAGGUGCAAUAUUGGCUAAGUAUGAAAAAUGGUUUUUCGGAAUAAUCAUUUUCUCAAGAUAAUUUUUGGCGGCUUUUAUUCCUUACACAUCAAAUAAGAAAACUUGAUUUUAUGGGAUUUUAAUAUGAAGUAUAUAUUGACUUAAUGAGCCAUCAUUUUUAGCCUAAAUUGUAUUUUGCACUAAAACCGAUUUUUCAUAUUUUGAUUUGGUGGGAAUUUGAUUUUCUAGUAUUUUUAUUUGAAUCCAAAUGGGGGGUACUUCCUUAUUUACAUUGUAAACUUAAGUAAAUGGAGUAAUAUAAAAAUAAAUGAAUGUAAACUUGUUGAAAAUGGAAAUAAGGUAUAGAGAGGAAAAUGUUGAGUAUAAAGAGUGAAUAAUGGUAGAAGUAAAAGAAAAUGUAAGAGGAUUGGUAUUGAAAGGUAUUUAUAGAAGAAAAAAUCUGACUUUUUAAGAAUUUUUUUUUAAAAAAAUUUAAUACUGGGCGAUGACGUCACGCUGACGCAAGCCGUGACGUCAUCAGCCUGGGUUUCGAAUGCGGGCUGAACUGGCCCUCGGGCCAGCCCGAGUUGGUGGGUCCCACACGCAACCCGGGCCUGGGCUCCCCGCUGGAACGAAUUUUUUUUUCGGCCCCCCCCCCAGCCUUGGGCUCGGUCUCUCCGGUGAAACCGCUCUAAGAGCAUUUAUCUCUACACUUGAGGUCCUAAGUUCGAUUUUCCUUCCCCAAUAAUGCUUGUAUCCAAAAAUUAAAAAAUUAAAAAAGUUUGGAUUAUACAAGAGGAGAAAUAACUACUGCCUUUAACAAACAAAACCUUUCCAACUCCAUCAUAUUAAUCCACUUGUACACCCGGAAUGGAUUACAGAUCCAGCAAGAAUGCUUUUUUAAGUCCUAAGAGAGAGCAAAUUACAAGGGGCGGAGCUUCUUAUUCCCACAAGUACUUUUGAUUAUUUAUUUUGGCCAAAGCCCCAAGGCAAAAGAAUUCUUGUGUACAACCAGUGAAUCCAACGUUCCUCCAACAAUAAUUCCCUCACAUGUCGUUCACGUGACAAAUUAUUACGAUACACAUUGUAUACACUGGUUGCAUGCAAAAAUUUCUUCCCAUACCUUAAAAUGGGGCACCAAACUGCUGGAGGACCUUCUUCCAAGAAGGUCUGUUGCUAAUAUCAUCCCACCAAGCAGAGACAUGCUUUCUGUCCUUUAUCAUAUACUCCUUCUCCAUACUAUUUGCCAAGUAGUAGGUGAAUGGAAGGUGGCUAAGAUCAGCAAGGCUGAAAAAAUCACCAGCCAAAUACUUGCUCUUCGACAGCCUCUCCUCGUAAACGUCCAACACCUUGCCAAGCUUUUCUUCACUCUCCUGAAUGAUCUUCGGGUCCGAAGGAAGACCCAAUUCUGGGGCAA
rnacentral:lncRNA from 1 species